UACGAAGGGGGCUAGCGUUGUUCGGAAUUACUGGGCGUAAAGCGCGCGCAGGCGGCUAUCCAAGUCAGUGGUGAAAGCCCGGAGCUCAACUCCGGAACUGCCAUUGAAACUGUUUAGCUUGAGGAUGAGAGAGGUGAGUGGAACUGCGAGUGUAGAGGUGAAAUUCGUAGAUAUUCGCAAGAACACCAGUGGCGAAGGCGGCUCACUGGCCCGAUACUGACGCUGAGGCACGAAAGCGUGGGGAGCAAACAGG
rnacentral:rRNA from 1 species